rnacentral:rRNA from 1 species
AGUCGCCGCGGGAAUACAGAGGGUGCGAGCGUUAAUCGGAUUUACUGGGCGUAAAGCGUGCGUAGGCGGCUUUUUAAGUCGGAUGUGAAAUCCCUGAGCUUAACUUAGGAAUUGCAUUCGAUACUGGGAAGCUAGAGUAUGGGAGAGGAUGGUAGAAUUCCAGGUGUAGCGGUGAAAUGCGUAGAGAUCUGGAGGAAUACCGAUGGCGAAGGCAGCCAUCUGGCCUAAUACUGACGCUGAGGUACGAAAGCAUGGGGAGCAAACAGGAUUAGAUACCCGCGUAGUCCCUGUCUCUUAUACA